GGGUGUGAGGGCCAUCUGGCUGCAACAUCUGCCACCCUAUCGAUUGCCAGGGUUGAUCUGGCUGGCUAGGCAAGUAUCCCGUUCCUUUAUCACAACUCCAUGUGUGUUCCUCCCAAAGCUGCACAUUCAGUGGAAGAGGACCAUCCCAGAUAGAAAACCAUCCAUAGUAAACAAUGGAUUUGCUUAACCACCAUGAUGUUCACUUAACCACCACAAACUCACACUUUAUGACCAUCAUGAUUUAUGAUUGU
rnacentral:sRNA from 1 species